GUGCUCACAUGGCAUUGUAUGUGCUACAAUCAAAACAAAAUCGAAAUUAGUAUGGUCCUUGUGCAAGGAUGACAUGCAGAUUCCCGAAGCAUUUUAUGGUUUU
rnacentral:snRNA from 1 species